CCUACGGGAGGCAGCAGUGGGGAAUAUUGGACAAUGGGGGCAACCCUGAUCCAGCCAUGCUGCGUGUGUGAAGAAGGCCCUCGGGUUGUAAAGCACUUUCAGUGAGGAAGAACGCCUGGUGGUUAAUACCCAUCAGGAAAGACAUCACUCACAGAAGAAGCACCGGCUAACUCCGUGCCAGCAGCCGCGGUAAUACGGAGGGUGCGAGCGUUAAUCGGAAUUACUGGGCGUAAAGCGCGCGUAGGUGGCUUGAUAAGCCGGUUGUGAAAGCCCCGGGCUCAACCUGGGAACGGCAUCCGGAACUGUCAAGCUAGAGUGCAGGAGAGGAAGGUAGAAUUCCCGGUGUAGCGGUGAAAUGCGUAGAGAUCGGGAGGAAUACCAGUGGCGAAGGCGGCCUUCUGGACUGACACUGACACUGAGGUGCGAAAGCGUGGGUAGCAAACAGGAUUAGAUACCCCUGUAGUC
rnacentral:rRNA from 1 species